CCCAGACUCCUACGGGAGGCAGCAGUGGGGGAUAUUGCACAAUGGGGGGAACCCUGAUGCAGCGACGCCGCGUGGGUGAAGGAGCGUUUCGGCGCGUAAAGCCCUAUCGGCAGGGAAGAAGGAGGACGGUACCUGACUAAGAAGCCCCGGCUAACUACGUGCCAGCAGCCGCGGUAAUACGUAGGGGGCAAGCGUUAUCCGGAUUUACUGGGUGUAAAGGGGGCGCAGACGGCAGCGCAAGCCAGGAGUGAAAGCCCGGGGCCCAACCCCGGGACUGCUCUUGGAACUGCGCGGCUGGAGUGCAGGAGGGGCAGGCGGAAUUCCUGGUGUAGCGGUGAAAUGCGUAGAUAUCAGGAGGAACACCGGUGGCGAAGGCGGCCUGCUGGACUGCGACUGACGUUGAGGCCCGAAAGCGUGGGGAGCAAACAGGAUUAGAUACCCUUGUACG
rnacentral:rRNA from 1 species